CGUAGGGGGCAAGCGUUGUCCGGAUUUACUGGGCGUAAAGAGCGCGCAGGCGGUCGAAUAAGUCGAAUGGGAAAGCCCCCGGCUUAACUGGGGAGGGUCAUUCGAUACUGCUCGACUUGAAGGCAGGAGAGGGUAGUGGAAUUCCCGGUGUAGUGGUGAAAUGCGUAGAGAUCAGGAAGAACACCGGUGGCGAAAGCGCUCUGCUAGGCCGUAACUGACACUGAGGGACGAAAGCUAGGGGAGCGAAUGGG
rnacentral:rRNA from 1 species